rnacentral:rRNA from 1 species
GUUGUCUUGCGCCACCCCCCACCCCAGCCCCAAGGUCCCCAUUGCCCUCCCCCUCACCAAAGCACAGCACAUACAUGGCGAUGGUGUGUGUGGAGGCGUUGGAGGGGGGCUACAGCUACAGCUACAAAAGAAAAGGGGAAAAAAGAAGGAGCUGAAAAGGAAAAGGCAGAGCUCCUCUCCCCCUCCCCCGUCCCUUUUCUCCCCUCCCAAUUCAUCACAGGAUUCACUCCCCAGCUGGGUGUUUCUUUCUUUUCUCCCCUUCCUUCCUUCCUAGCAGCAGGCAGAGCCAGCCAGUGGUGUGGUGGUGCCCCCUUGCUCUGAUCCAAGCCUUUCGCUCAAAGCCCCCGGCUUUUGCCGAUUGUUUGGUCACUUCAAGAAUCUCGGAAUAUGUUCUUGCUCCUGCCGCCGCCCCUGCUCUGAUCCGCCCCUCCCUCCUUCGAGCCAAGCCAGGCCAGCCCAGGCCCCUGUCGCGCUCUCUCUCUUUCUUUCUCCGGCGGCAUUUGGGUUCUCUGCAAGGAAAGGAUUCUGGCGGCCUGGUUUUGGCCGUGAUUGGGAUCCAAUUUUGGGGGCGGGUUCGCCGUGGUGUGGAGCCAGGUUCCUUACUUCCUUUCUUGGUGAGGCAGGAAUUUGGGAUGAUUUCUCGGGUUCUUGAAGGCGGGGAGACUCUCUGACGACCCGGCCCGGCGCCGUUUCUGGGGGAAAUUCUGCGCGGUUUCUGCGGAAUUUGCGUCGAUUCGGGGCCGUUGAGCUCGGUUCUUGAUCCGCGGGCUCCAUGGGUCUCUGUCAUGGAAAGCCCUCGCGAAUCCCGGAGCCCAAGGCGGAGGAGGAGCCGCGCGUGGCCUCCUCCGGCGCCCGCGAUGCCGCCGGUGGGGUGGCCGCCUCGCCGGCGCAGGCGGCCGCGGCGAAGCCGGGCACGCCGAAGCAGCCCAAGUUCCCCUUCUACCUGCCGAGCCCGCUCCCGGCGUCCAGCUACAAGGGCUCGCCGGCCAACUCGAGCGUGGCGUCCACGCCGGCGCGCGGCGGGUUCAAGCGGCCCUUCCCGCCGCCGUCGCCGGCCAAGCACAUCCGCGCGCUCCUGGCGCGGCGGCACGGCUCCGUAAAGCCCAACGAGGCGUCCAUCCCCGAGGGCGGCGAGCCGGAGCUGGGCCUCGACAAGAGCUUCGGCUUCUCCAAGCACUUCUUCGCCAAGUACGAGCUCGGCGAGGAGGUCGGCCGCGGCCACUUCGGCUACACCUGCGCCGCCAAGGCCAAGAAGGGCGAGCACAAGGGCCAGGACGUCGCCGUCAAGGUCAUCCCCAAGGCCAAGAUGACAACAGCCAUAGCAAUUGAAGAUGUCAGAAGAGAAGUGAGGAUAUUGAGCUCUCUGACAGGCCACAGCAACCUAGUGCAGUUCUAUGAUGCUUUUGAAGAUGAAGACAACGUGUAUAUAGUUAUGGAAUUGUGUAAAGGAGGCGAACUACUUGAUAAGAUAUUGGCGAGAGGUGGAAAGUAUUCUGAAGAGGAUGCAAAGGUUGUUAUGCUGCAAAUUUUGAGUGUAGUAUCAUUUUGCCAUCUUCAAGGUGUUGUUCAUCGGGAUCUGAAACCAGAGAAUUUUCUAUUCUCAUCGAAGGAGGAAAACUCACCCUUGAAGGUCAUAGACUUUGGCUUGUCUGACUUUGUAAAGCCAGAUGAAAGACUCAACGACAUUGUUGGAAGUGCAUAUUAUGUUGCUCCCGAGGUGCUUCAUCGAUCUUAUGGCACGGAGGGAGAUAUGUGGAGCAUUGGAGUAAUUGCCUACAUUUUGCUUUGUGGGAGUCGACCUUUCUGGGCACGCACAGAAUCAGGAAUAUUCCGAGCUGUCCUUAAGGCGGAACCAAGUUUUGACGAGGCCCCAUGGCCUACUCUCUCUGCUGAAGCCAAAGACUUUGUAAAAAGGUUGCUUAAUAAGGAUUAUCGCAAGAGGAUGACUGCCUCACAAGCUCUCAGUCACCCAUGGAUCCGUGAUGCACAACAAGUCAAAAUUCCUUUAGAUAUGAUAAUCUACAAGCUUAUCCGAGCUUAUAUCAGUUCAUCUUCAUUGCGGAAGUCUGCUUUGAGGGCCCUAGCUAAGACAUUGACAGCAAAUCAACUCUUUUAUCUAAAAGAGCAGUUUGAAUUGUUGGGUCCAAACAAGAGUGGUUUUAUCUCGUUGCAAAAUUUGAAAUCGGCUCUGGUGAAGAAUUCGACGGAUGCAAUGAAGGAUUCCAGGGUUAUUGACUUUGUUAACACGGUAUGCACCCUUCAGUACAGAAAAUUGGAUUUCGAAGAGUUUGCGGCUUCCGCCAUCAGCGUAUAUCAGAUGGAAGCUCUGGAGACCUGGGAACAGCACGCUCGGCGCGCGUAUGAGCUGUUUGACAAGGAGGGCAACCGGCCUAUCGUGAUCGAAGAACUUGCGUCGGAACUCGGCCUCGGCCCGUCGGUGCCCCUCCACGUCGUCCUCCAGGACUGGAUCAGGCACGCCGACGGGAAGCUCAGCUUCCUCGGGUUCAUAAAGCUCUUGCACGGAGUUUCUUCCCGGUCGAUCCCGAAAGCCUGAGACGGAAAACAAGCAUUAUUAUUGUUGCAUCAAACCUAGGAGAUGACUGAUGGCUAAGCCAGUGCCAAUCUCUCGCUGGUGUCUGUGUGCGUGGACGACGACUGUUUGAGGUGGCUGGAGCAGGACGAUGGCUUGCGACCACGACCGUAACGGAAGGGAAGCCGACAGUCUUUGUGUAAGAGGUAAGAAGAUAAAAAGAAGGUUGUUGCUUAAUGCUUAUGACUACUACAGUAGUAGCUAUUAGUGCUUGCUUGUACCCCCUCCCUCCCCCCGUGCCACGUGGAUUGAUGAUGGUGUUGUAUUAAGCUGCUGUGUAGACGGAUGUACAGAUGAGGAUAGGAAGAAAAGAAUAUGAAUUGAAAGGGCUUAGCUGCUGUUGUUGUUAUGGCUUGGAGACUGCUGGUUGUCGUCAGUGUCCUUCUAUUUUGCUGUCUCAAAUAAGGUGUUUGUAGUGGAGAUCUCUUGUGUUGUGCCAAGAGAAGCCCUGGUUAUGGAGUUUUUUAUUUUUAUUUUUAUUUUUAUUUUGGGGGAUUAGUGGUUAGGAUCUUGAUUGUGGAUGUGUCUCUUAUUAUGCAAGUAGUGGUUCUUGUGUGUAUGUGAUGCAAGUAAUGGCCCUUACCCUUGUGCCUAUGACCAACCGACGAAUGCAU